UACAGCUCCACUGGCUAUA
rnacentral:misc_RNA from 1 species